GCCGCCCUUGCCGGCGCGGGACCACACGGACCCCACACUGGGAAGGAAUAGACCCACGAUCCAUUUGUGAAUAAGCCACGUGAAUCCGCUUUGUCCAGGCUAGAAGAGGAUCAGUGCUUAAGCUCACAAACGACUGGCCUUAAAACAUCUUAUCUUUGCGAACCAGAGUUUUCUACAGGGGCAGCAACCACAGUAAGAUUAUGAAGUGGGCUGGACAUCAGCAACACUUGUUCGUCCCUGUCUCCCAUCACCCCCUCCGUCCGUGGGACCGUCGAGAUGCAGGAAACAAACUGAGGACUCCCACCGAUUCUGCGUUUAUGGGGAAUUUGAUAAUCUCAUUAUAUACUACAAUGUAAUGAUGAUAGAAAUAAAGUGCACAGUAAAUGU